GACGAACGCUGGCGGCGAUCUUAACACAUGCAAGUCGAACGUAAAGGCCCUGCGUUUUUUGUGUGCUCGAGUGGCGAACGGGUGAGUAACACGUGAGUAACCUGCCCUUGACUUUGGGGUAACUUCAGGAAACUGGGGCUACUACCUGAUAGGAUCUCCUGCUGCGUGGUGGGGGGUGGAAAGUUUCGGCGGUUGGGGAUGGACUCGCGGCUUGUCAGCUUGUUGGUGGGGUAGUGGCUUACCAAGGCUUUGACGGGUAGCCGGCCUGAGAGGGUGACCGGCCACAUUGGGACUGAGAUACGGCCCAGACUCCUACGGGAGGCAGCAGUGGGGAAUAGUGCACAAUGGGCGGAAGCCUGAUGCAGCAACGCCGCGUGCGGGAUGACGGCCUUCGGGUUGUAAACCGCUUUCGCCUGUGACGAAGCGUGAGUGACGGUAAUGGGUAAAGAAGCACCGGCUAACUACGUG
rnacentral:rRNA from 1 species